rnacentral:rRNA from 1 species
GUGACGGCGUGCUUUUUGUAGAACGAUCCAGCGAGUUAAUUUCAUGCGCCAGGUUAAGUCAAGUGACGGAGCCACAGUGAAAGCGAGCCUGAAUAGGGCGAUAAGUGUAUGGGAUUAGACCCGAAACCGGGUGACCUAACCAUGAGCAGGUUGAAGCUGCGGUAACACGCAGUGAAGGACCGAACCAGUUUGCGCAGUAAAGCAUUUGGAUGACUUGUGGUUAGCGGUGAAAUGCCAAUCGAACUCGGAGAUAGCUGGUUCUCCUCAAAAUAGCUUUAGGGCUAGCGUCAUGUAAAAUAGCCAACGGGGGUAGAGCUCUGUAAACGACUGGGGCGGGCAACUGUACCCACCGUUAACAAACUACGAAUACCGUUGGUGGUACCAUGGCAGUUAGAACAUCGGGGCUAAGCUCGGUGCUCAAAAGGGAAACAGCCCAGACCAUCAUCUAAGGUCCCUAAAUUAACACUAAGUGGGAAACAAGGUGAAAUUUCUUAAACAGCGAGGAUGUUGGCUUAGAAGCAGCCAUUCAUUUAAAGAGUGCGUAACAGCUCACUCGUCAAGAGAUUUUGCGUGGAAAAUGUAACGGGGCUAAAGUGUUAUACCGAAGAUAUGGAUUUCGUUAUUCCUACGGGUUUAACGGAGUGGUAGAGGAGCGUUCCUAUCGGCAGUGAAGCUCAAUCGUAAGGUUGGGUGGAGCGUUAGGAAGUGAGAAUGCUGGAAUGAGUAACCAUAAGAAAGGUGAGAAUCCUUUCGGCCGUAAGAGCGAGGUUUCCAGGGCUACUGUAAUAAUCCCUGGGUUAGUCGGGCCUAAGCCGAGGCGUAGCAGCGUAGGCGAUGGACAUCAGGUUAAUAUUCCUGAACCGGUUAUAAUUUGUAUACUGUGUACGGUAAAUUAGUCGAAGCGGAUUAUUGGUAUAUAUCCGUCCAACUUAGCGGGAACGCAAAAGGAGUGAAAGUUAAUCUACGGAUUAACGAUUUUGAUGAAAGUACUGGCUAGAAAAGCAGAUAUACGCGUGGUUAUAGCCGCCCGUACCGCAAACCAACACAGGUGCUCGAGUCGAGUAGACUCAGGCUUACGAGAGACCCUUCGCUAAGGAACUCGGCAAAACAGCGACCGUAACUUCGGGAUAAGGUCUGCCUCCGCAUCAUUCGAUGCGAGUCGUGUUUCAAGCAAUUAGGUUAAGAUUAAUGGUAUAUAUGAGUAUCUUAAACUUCUUUACCGAGAUAGAACAAGUCAAAUGGCUUAGCUUGGAACGUGGCAAACUCGUAUCAAACGAUGCGGAGGCCGCAGCAAAAGAGCCCACGGAACUGUUUACCAAAAACACAGGUCUCUGCGAACACGAAAGUGGAUGUAUAGGGGCUGACUCCUGCCCAGUGCUGGAAGGUUAAGGGGAGUGCUUUACGGUGCGAACUGAAGCCCCAGUGAACGGCGGCGGUAACUAUAACCGUCCUAAGGUAGCGAAAUUCCUUGUCAGGUAAGUUCUGACCCGCACGAAUGGAGUAAUCAUGUGGGCACUGUCUCGGCGAAGGACUCGGUGAAAGUGCAUUGGCGGUAAAGAUGCCGUCUGUCCAUGCCAGGACGA